CAAGUUUGGCAUCUGUGAAAAAUUUUUAUUUCUUCUUUCUCGAGCUGCACAUAUUAUAUUUCCUUUACUUCUCUUAUUGCACUGGCUGAGAUAUUUAGUAUGGUGUUGAACAGAAGUGCUGAGAGGAGACAUCCUUUCCUUGUUCAUAAUCCUGUAGGGAAGGUUUCUAGUCUUCUACUAUCAAGUAUGGUGUUAGCUGUAGGGUUUUGUACAUACUCAUUGCCAUUCGAAGAAAUGUUCCUCUAUUCCUAGUUCUUAAUAGGAUUGUGUGUUGGAUUUUGUCAUAUGCUUUUUCUGCAUCAGCUGAUAUGAUCAUAUGAUUUUUCUUCUCUAGCUAUUGAAAUGUGGUGGAUUACAUCAAUUAGUUUUCAAAUGAUGAACAAGUAUUGCAUACCAGGAAUUAAUCCCACUUGGUGUGGUGUUUAAUCUUUUUUAUACAUUGUUGUAUUAAAUAUGCUAAUGGUUCAUUGAGGAUUUUUGCAUCUACAUUCAUGAGAGAUAUUGGUCAAUAGUUUUCCUUUAUUGCAGUGUCUUUAUCUGGUUUUGGUAUUAGUGUAUGCUGGCCUCAUAGAAUGAGUUAGUUAUUGAUUCCAUUUAUUUUUAGAUAUAUGCUAAUUGAAAUUAUCUAUUUCUCUUUGUGUGAUAUUUGGGUAUUGUGUCUUUCAAGGAAUUGGCCACUUUCAUGUCAGGUAUAAAAUUAGCAUAGAGUUGUUCAUAGCUUCUCUUUUUAAUCCAAUUAGUAUUGAUGGAAUCGGUAGUGAGCAUCCUUCUUUCAUUUGGAUAUUGGUAAUUUAUGUCUUCUCUCUUUUUUCUUAGUUAGCUUAGCCAAAACUUUAUCAAUUUUUCAAUUUUUCCAAA
rnacentral:lncRNA from 1 species